AGAGGAAGUGUUGCUGAAGGGCUGGUUUAUGAAGACACCCUCAAGUCAUUGAUUAACAUGGCUACCUCUCUGAAACCCGUGAUCUUAAGUCACUUAACUUCUCUGAGCAGCAAAGAAGUCACCCAUCUGGAUGGAUGAUAUAAAUACCACACUCAGAGGUUAAUGUCAUGAAGCCUUGGUGGCCAUGUCUUGCAGUGUAACUUCUUUCACAUCUCUUCCCUGAAGUAGCUUCUGUUUCCUAAGCUACAUUUUCGCCAGUGACAGCACAUCAGCUGUGUCUGCAGAUGGAUCUGCUCCUGCUUCUGACAGAGUAUUUGUGAUGAGACCCCACAAGGUCUGAAUGAUGUUCUGAUGUUCUCUACAUUCCUUUGGUCUUCAGGAGUUUUCAUAGCACUGCUUUUACUGCUAUGUUAUCUCAUAUUUGUAUUUUUACAGCAAACUUGUACUAGUGAACAUUUUUAAUGACAAAAUAGCAUCUUGUCAGUUUAAAGUGAAUGGUCAGAUGGCCCUUCUGAAUCGAUGCAUACCUACUGCCUGUGUGUAUCAGACCCAUAUCAGAUUAUUUUUUGUUUCUGUUAGCCAUGCAGAGCCAAAUGAAAGAGAGAGAGAGAUGGAUUCUAUGUCUGUUGGUGCAUCAUAAACAGAAUUCUUUGCCAAGUUCCCAAGUGUUACACCUAUGCAAAUGCACUAAAGACCAUGGGAGUUGCAGAGGUGUCAAUGAAGGCAUAAUCUGUAGAUUUUUAGGGUUGCACAAGUGAAACUGAGGGA